rnacentral:pre_miRNA from 1 species
AAUAACCUUAUUUUUCGUUUUUCUGUGUCCAACGUUUGACCAUUUGUCUUAUUUGAAAAAUUUAUACAAAAACUUAAAAAAAAUUAGUCACAUGUAAAGUACUAUUCAUAUUUUAUCAUGUAGUAACAAUAAAAAUAUUAAUCGCAAAAAAAUUUCAAAUAAGACGAAUGGUCAAACGUUGGACACAGAAAAAC